AUGGGCGUCAGCCUGAUGCAGCCAUGCCGCGUGAGUGAUGAAGGCCUUCGGGUUGUAAAGCUCAUUUACCGGGGAAGAUAAUGACUGUACCGGGAGAAUAAGCCCCGGCUAACUCCGUGCCAGCAGCCGCGGUAAUACGGAGGGGGCUAGCGUUGUUCGGAAUUACUGGGCGUAAAGCGCACGUAGGCGGCUUUUCAAGUCAGGGGUGAAAGCCCGCGGCUCAACCGCGGAAUUGCCCUUGAGACUGUAUCUCUUGAAUACGGGAGAGGUGAGUGGAAUUCCGAGUGUAGAGGUGAAAUUCGUAUAUAUUCGGAAGAACACCAGUGGCGAAGGCGGCUCACUGGACCGUUGUUGACGCUGAGGUGCGAAAGCGUGGGGAGCAAACAGGAUUAAAUACCCUGGUAGUACACGCCGUAAACGAUCAAGACUAGCUGUCCGGAAGCUUAUCUCUUUGGUGGCUCGGGUAACCCUUUAACUCUUCCCCCUGGGGAGUCCGGCCCCAAGUUUAAACCUCAAA
rnacentral:rRNA from 1 species